GACGAACGCUGGCGGCGUGCUUAAUACAUGCAAGUCGAACGGUGAAAGAAGAGCUUGCUCUUCUGGAUCAGUGGCGAACGGGUGAGUAACACGUGAGUAACCUGCCCCAGACACUGGGAUAAGCGCUGGGAACGGCGGCUAAUAUCGGAUACGAGAUAGAGCUGCAUAUCUACUGUCUGGAAAGUUUGUCUGUCUGGGCUGGACUCGCGGGCUAUCAGCUUGUUUGUGAGGUAACGGCUCACCAAGGCAACGACGGGUAGCCGGCCUGGGAGGGCGACCGGGCACCAUGGGACUGAGACACGGCGCAGAAUCCUACGGGCGGCAGCAGUGGGGAAUAUUGCGCAGUGGGCCAAAGCCUGAUACAGAGACGCCGGGUGCGGGAUGCCCGCCUUCGGGUUGUAAACAUAUUUCAGAAGGGAAGAAGACAAAGUGACGGUACCUGAAGAGGAAGCCCCGGCUAACUACGUG
rnacentral:rRNA from 1 species